UACAUUUGGAUUGCAGAUAAACAAGAGGUU
rnacentral:piRNA from 1 species